UAUGGCCCGGGCAAGGCCUCACUUACUCUGGGGGAUAAAGGCGCAGCUCCUCGAUUUCUCCCAGGAAGCCGAAGAGCGUCCGCAUCUGCUCGCUGGUUACCGCCGAGGAGAGGUUGGUGACUUGGAUGACGGAGAGACAAUCCACUGGUAUCCUGCAUCAUCAUCUAUCUUCCUCGAAAGAGAAAGAAAGAUCCUAACAAAGACUCUUAUGACUGAUGGCCAGAACUGCCCACUAUAGCAAAGCAGCUAUCCUUUGUUUGAUUGAAAUGAUAUUGAACAGCAUUUGAAAGAAUGCAACUGUCAGGACCUUGCCUAUCAGUGGGAACAGUGGAAAGACAAAGCAGUUGGCCUGACCACCGGAGGAGGAAUGCAUCUGAGAUCGCCCCCCCUUUCUGUCCCUGCCCUGGAACAGAACUGGAGGCAGCGUCAGUUCUGGGUGGUAGCAAAGAGGUUGACUCGGGGAGCUCCCCACUCUCAGAAGAGCUGUCGGGCGACAUGCCAGUGGAGUGACCACUCGUAUUGGUGGGAAAACACCCUGCUGAGGCCCAGACCUGCGCAUGUGGAUAGCAGGAAUUGUAUCUGGGCCUGUACCUGGGACCGGGAGUUGCCCUUUAGGAGCCAGUCAUCCAGGUAAGGGAACAUUUGCAGCCCGUUCCUCCAGAGGUGGGCUGCCACCACUGCCAUGCAUUUGGUAAAAACCCUGGGGGCCGUGGAAAGGCCAAAACGGAGGACCGCAAACUGGUAAUGGUCCUGCCCUACCAGGAAGUGGAGGAAGCGCCUGUGACCCUUGAAAAUAUGGAUGUGGAAAUACGCAUCCUGGAGGUCCAGGGACGCGAACCAAUCCCCCGGGUCUAGGGAGGGAAUGAUGGAGGUCAGGGAUACCAUGCGGAACUUGUAACGGACCAUAAACCUGUUGAGAUUCCGCAGGUCCAGGAUGGGCCAGAGCCCGCCUUUCACCUUCGGGAUCAGGAAAUACCGUAAGACCCCUUGCCCUGGAAUUCUACCAGUACCCUUUCUACCGCACCCAGGUCGAGGAGGCGCGCCUGGCUUAGAAGGGGGGCAUGUUCCAGUUCCCCGAGGUCCUCCAGGGGGUGGUGGAGGGUGUGUGUGAAGCGAACUGCAACAUGUAGCCCCUGGAAAUAGUGCUGAGGACCCACUGGUCUGAUGUUAUAUGGGACCAUUCCACUCAGAAUGCAGAUAAAUGGCUGCAGAACACAAACUUUAUUAACUGGGGGGCUUCCGCGGCAACAGGCCUGGUUGCCCCCCGCCCCGCAAAGAGUCAAAACUGCCUCUUCCCCUGCUUCUUGCCCUUCGAGGGGCCUGGUCGCGGGGCUGAGCGGGACUGAUGUUGGGACCUAUGUCUCUGCUUCCUCAUUCUCUUAUGCAGGGGCUCAUAUCUGCCCCUAGCGGGAGGUGCUGAGGUCUGCAGCCUAGGUUUGUCCUUUGCUGGCGGGACAUAUAGGCCCAGAGUUUGCAGGGUGGUGCGAGAGUCUUUCAUCCCAUGCAGGUGGACGUCAGUUUGGUCCGCAAACAGCGCUUUCCCAUCAAAGGGAAGGUCCUGCUUCAAGGACUGGAAUUCUGCAGACAGACUGGACAGGAGAAGCCAGGACGCCCUAAGCAUAGAUAUGGCCAAGACCAUCGAAUGGGCUGCCGUGUCGGCCGUGUCCGAGGAGGCCUGGAGGGCUGCUUUCACCGCUGCUGCCCCUUCCUCAACCAGAGCCUUGAACUCCUUUUUGUCACGCUCCGGCAGAAGAGGCUCAAACUUUGGUAGAGACCCCCAUAAGUUAAAAUCAUAGUGGCUCAACAG